UCGGAUGGAAUUGAAAUUGACUUAGCGGCGGACGGGUGAGUAACGCGUGGGUAACCUGCCUUACACUGGGGGAUAACAGUUAGAAAUGACUGCUAAUACCGCAUAAGCGCACAGGGCCGCAUGGUCUGGUGUGAAAAACUCCGGUGGUGUAAGAUGGACCCGCGUCUGAUUAGGUAGUUGGUGGGGUAACGGCCCACCAAGCCGACGAUCAGUAGCCGACCUGAGAGGGUGACCGGCCACAUUGGGACUGAGACACGGCCCAAACUCCUACGGGAGGCAGCAGUGGGGAAUAUUGGACAAUGGGCGAAAGCCUGAUCCAGCGACGCCGCGUGAGUGAAGAAGUAUUUCGGUAUGUAAAGCUCUAUCAGCAGGGAAGAAAAUGACGGUACCUGACUAAGAAGCCCCGGCUAACUACGUGCCAGCAGCCGCGGUAAUACGUAGGGGGCAAGCGUUAUCCGGAUUUACUGGGUGUAAAGGGAGCGUAGACGGUUAAGCAAGUCUGAAGUGAAAGCCCGGGGCUCAACCCCGGUACUGCUUUGGAAACUGUUUGACUUGAGUGCAGGAGAGGUAAGUGGAAUUCCUAGUGUAGCGGUGAAAUGCGUAGAUAUUAGGAGGAACACCAGUGGCGAAGGCGGCUUACUGGACUGUAACUGACGUUGAGGCUCGAAAGCGUGGGGAGCAAACAGGAUUAGAUACCCUGGUAGUC
rnacentral:rRNA from 1 species